GGUUGCCAGAGUCUGUCCUGUGAAGCGGCGCGACACAGGAGCCCAUUCGUGGCGGCCGGCCGGGAGAAGACUGCACGCCAGCAAGGAAGGAAAAUCAACUCUGAGCCGCAUGCAAGGCGCAGCUUCUUCUUGUCACACACACACACACACACACACACGCACCGUCCACAUCCCCCUCCUUCUCUCCUUUUCUCUCUUCCUAUCCCUUUAUUCGUUCUCGUUACAAUUCCCUUUUCCACACACGCACCUCUACGCGAUCCCUCGCUCGCUAUUCUCGCGCUACCCUUGUUGCCCCGCCCCGCCUCGCCUCCUCUGGUCGCUUCCUGCUCCGCCUCGCGACCUCUUCCUUCCAUUGCUCCCCGCGCAAGACAAGGCGUUUCUCGUGUGUCUUUGAUUCGCUGCCGCUUCCUUUUGCAUUUUGCAUCCGCCUCGCUGUCUCUCUCUCUCUCUCCUCCUUCUCGCAGGUGGUGCGCUCGUCGACCUGCGCGCCAGAAGACUCACACCUGCUCCCUCCCUCCACCCCCUUCGCCUUCUCCUUUACUCGUUGCACAGCACAUCUGCGUUUGCUGCGACGCCCAUCUCGGCGAUUGGGGCGAGAGUACACGCAUCGCAGACUCGCACAGACACGCACGCCUUGUCACGUUCCUACCGCGUGAUCCUCCUUUCCUGCGUGCUGGGAAACGCUCUACAAGGCCGAGUGGGAAGCGCAACGCUCUUUGGCUCUUCUCCACUCUACACACCCUUCUCUGCCGUGCUGGAUGCCUGCCAAGCGUUUUGCUGCGCUCACACUCAAGAGCGGCAAAGGCAGCGGCGUGGGGGAUUGUUCAGUGGAGUGUGGUGGCCCGAUACCCGCAGCAGCUACUGCUUCCACUGAUGGGGCAGCGCGUGUGCACCGCUUCCCAGCGACAGAUGAUGAAGAGCAUCCUGGCAUCCCUGUGCUUGCCGCCACCUCCCGCGGUGGCGCCAUCAGCCGUCUCCUGACCCCGCCGACGUCCCGCGCUGAGUCGAUCGGUUCACGCGACUGCUACAACUCACAUCACAGUCGCAGCGAAAGCAGCUCGCUGUUCCACUCCUGCUGCUCCUCCGGUGCCCGCAGCUCUGCAGAGCGCGCUGGCACCGCGUCCCCGACGCUGGUAUCAGCAUAUGGUCGCUCGUACCGCCAUAAUCCAUACAUCGCCUCUCCCAGCACCGCGGGGUCGCCCAUGAUGCCCGAGUUGCCAGCAAGUAUGUCGCUUGCAGAGCACGAGAGUGCUAGAGAUCUCAGCAUUGGCAGCGGCUGUGGCGCUGGUGAGCAAGAGCGCCGUUGCAUCAUACGCAGUCGUCACGCCCGAUCGUUGUCGCCAUCCACCUCGCGACGUGGCCGGGCACUGGCAGGGCCAGUUGCUGGUAUGACGUACCACGCCUCCACUCUGCUACAGCCGCAGCAGCUUGCAGCCGUUUUUCCACCUCAGCACUCGGUGGAGUCCUUCUCACGCGAAGGUUCCUUCUUGGGCCGCUCUGAGCCGUCGUCAGUGGGGCAGUCGUGUGGAAGUUCACCAGCAACAGCCACGGCACCGUUGGCCAUGCUGCUCGCAUCGGCGUCGUCGUUCCGCGGCACCCAGCACGGCGCACAUCGUCAUCAUUCCGCCCGCCAUCAGAGUAGUGCCCUUUACGGCGCAGGCACCGCCACGCCCGAGACGCCGAAUCUUUACCAGAGCCUCGGCAGCAUCAACGUCACCGUCGGCGCGAACAGCAACAACCCGUACAUUGGGGUGCGCAUGACGCCGGAGACGACGCUACUGCAGCCACAGUCGGUCGUGCAUGGCCGCAGUGCCGAGGCGGGCCCCCGCACCGCGGUGGAGAUCAAGAGGCAUCUGCUGUCGUUCUAUGACGCCCAGCCACUAGAGUCGUCGCUGUCGCGGGAGCCGAACCAGCAUGAGACAAGGCUUAGAGAAGCGCAGCAGCCGUGGAUGACAUCGGCGCUGCCGAUGCAGGUAGUGCCGGUGCACGCGCACGGCUCACGCCACAGCAACCCGCAGUCGUCCCCGGUCGCCGCCUCGGAGGGCUACGCCAUCAUGACGAACCGACCGCCGGGACUCAUGCCCACUGUGAUAAACCAAGUUGAGCGCACCUACCUCGAGCCUCGUUCCCCGGUGCUCCCACAUCAGCAGCAGCAGCAGCAAGGACCCCACUCAUUGCCUUCAUGCAAUGGCACACCCUACGAGGGCUGGGUGCGGGGUUAUUCCCCCCACAGUGCAGUGCAGCAGCAGCGAGCGCCGCCACAGCAGCGCGCCCUCCAUAUUUCUCCGUCCUAUGCGGCGGCCAUGCCAGCAGCAGGAUCGACAACCAUUUCCAUCCGCGGCAACAGCGUAGGUGACGCCAGCCGCACCCGCAGAACCGCCUGCGACGCGACGCGGCAGUUCUCUCCUUUGCCCACCAUCGCGUUUUCGGUUUCGCCAGCGCCGUUGGUGGAGAUGGAGCUGGCACUCGACGACUACAGCAGCUCCAGCCUUACCGAAUCCAUGGCAGAAGACAACUUGCAGCAUCGACAAGCAACCAUCCCUGCCCCGUCGCCCCAUCGCCCGUAUACGGCGGUGAGUCCUGCACGGCCGCGGUGCGCCACUCGGUCCCCGUUCGCAACGCCACCACGCUACCGGGACGCGUGUGCCUAUGCGCUGGACUCGACGCAGACGGGCCUGCCGAGCGACACAGAACCCCAAUCCACCCCCGCUUCUCGUGGAACGGCCGCGGCACUGCUCUAUUCACGCCAGCACAGCAGCAACGAUGCAGGCGCGUGCUCGGCAGACGGUGAAAAAGUUCAGGGCAACAGCGACGUGCGUCUCCCAUCUCAGCGCAGCUACGGCGGAGCGUCGUCAGCGAAAGCUGUGCCGGCGCACACGCUGGCCGAGGUUGGAGCUUCUCAAUGCCGGCCGUUGUCAUCAGUGCAGCUCAUGCCUGCCGCUGCCACAAAUGGCAAGAGUGGCGCUGUGCAAACGCCCAAGGAGAGUCAUCCACUGAGCGGCGCACCGGCGUAUCGAGCGCAGGGCGAGAACGACGUCGAGGUCACGGACGAGGAUGGAAAGGGUGGCGGCGACGACGAGGACAGCUCUCUCACUGCACCAGAUGCCGCGCAGAGGAAGAAGAAGCGCGUGCGUCGCAACCGCAAACCAAAGGCGCUGGAGGAUCUGCCUCCGGCCACGUCUAUGAAGUAUCUCCCGCCACCGCCACCGCCACCACCACCACCGGCGUUGCCGACACAACCCGAUCCUUCAGGCGCUGCAGUUAACGACGCGCCGUCGUCUUCCGCGUUCGACAGGUACUACGCAGUACUGCUGCGGUGGUACACGCGCCUGCUCGCCGACGAGGCCGAUUUUGUGGACAUCGCCACCGCAAGUAGUUUUGAUGCCGCCACGGCGGUAGCUGCAAUGAGCGCGGAGGCACGUCAGGCCCGCGACGGCAGCUACGCCGCGGAUGAUAAGCUGCCGUCUGCCUGCCCACUGCAGCACCUGGACUCCGGUCCCAUCAGCUCGCCUAUGGGUUCUAUUUCUCCGUCGCUCAUGUCGAAGCCGUCGCCUGCCUACUUUGGCAGCAGCGGCACCGGCAGUGGCAGCAACGCUGAGGUGCAUGUUCGAUGUCCCCGUAUUGAGCAGUACAUGGAUGCGUGCGACAUUCCGGCUGAGCUGCGUCUCUUUCCUACCCCCAACACCGCGGGGGCACAGGCAACUGGCGCUGCCCCGGCGGCGCUGCCGCAGUCCGUGAAGGACGUGCCGAGCGCGGUACGUUGGGCGCGCGACCUCGAGACGUGGUGGUUCUGCUACGUCUUCCCGCACGCGGCGCGCACGCGUCACCAGUCGCCCACUGCGUGGCCGCAGAUGCAGCCGGCCUCCAUGUCCCUCGGAAGUCUCACCAUCCCGCACACAGGCUCUGGUGGAGCCCUGCAGGACUAUCCCUAUGGCUGGUCAACCACAAUGCCGCAGCCGAUGAUGACGAUGAACUCCAUACCGGGGGUGUACGUCGCGCAUGGCAGCGCCGCGAUGGGCAGUGGUCAUCCCAUGAUUGCGAACAGGGUGCGCUCACCAGUCGGUGAGCAUAUGUCCAUGCACCACCAAAUGCCGCCCCCUCCACCGCCGAUGCCGCCAGGAUAUUCGAAGGGCCUGUACUCGACAUACUAGGGCACGGAGUAGCUCACGCGCGCACCGCGGCCGCAACUGAAGCCCUCACAACGGUCUAUCCUGAUGUUGCCGGGUGCUGUCGCGCUACGUCUGCAGCGAAGACUUGUUUUUGUUUCUCCUUUUGUACGGAAUGCGUCGCAGGGGAGCUCCUCGAACGGCUCCCUCUCCCUUUCCUCCCUUUUUUACUUGCGUUCGCCGCCACACCCACACAGCGCCGCGCUAUCCGUCCCUCCCUCCCUUGUGCACAAGAACUGCCGGUGGCAGACCAGCAGAGCCGCGGUGGAGUAAGGGGAGAAGGGGAGAGGAGGGUGAUGGCGGCGCUCCCUCCCCCUCUUUCACUCUUCUCCCUUUCCUUUCGCUCUACUGCCGCUUCAUCACCGCUGUUGCCCCCAACCCCACCCCUCACCUUGGGGGAGGGGAAUGUUUUAACUGCUGUUUUGGCGCCCGGAUGCCGGGGCAGGAGGGGGACACCUCUCCGUGCGUGGCACCUCAGGGUCUGGUGCCCCCCCCCCCCAAAUCACCCCCCCCCCAAAUCACCCCCCCCCCACUCAUUGUGGGGAGGAAGCCGAGCAGCCCCUUCGCCGUGCCAGCCACCGCGCCACUUCCGGUGGUGACAGUGUCGAGCACCUACGACGUAAGGGUGUGGGCUCCGUGCGAUUUAGCGCCACUGAGGUUGGCGGUGAGGCCGUGGGAUGGCGUUGCGUUGGAGCUGCAUGCGACCGUGAACACGCUUGUGCCAUCCAUAUGAUGGGCAAAACGUCGGCGUGACUCCAACGUACGCCAAGCGGCCAUGGCUGCCUACCGGUGCCGGGAGCCUUGGUCCCAUCCUGAGAGGGAUGCAGCACAUGGCACCCGGCAUGAUGAGGGGAAGGGGAGGCGGCGACCUGCGAGGCGGGCGGGUAGCGCCUGAGGCAGGGGCCGUGCUAAGAUAACUGAGUCGGCAUUUUGCUGUGUGUGCCUGGGGCUGCUUCCCACCAGGCCAUGGGGCCUGUGACGGGCCGGAGGGGUGGUGUGGGUGCCGUGUUGCUAGAGACGUAGACAUGUUUAAAAGAAAUUUUGUCUCUGUCUCUCUCUCUCUAAUUAAAUCGAUAAUGACUUGAUGAUGUAACUGUCUUUCUAAUUACGGCAACUUUACUCUCAGCUUCCCGCGUUUUCUUCGUGUGUGCCUUUUGCAUGUCUUCCCCCUCCUCCUCCCCCGAACGCCGCAACCGCGUGCGUCUGAGAGUGCGGCCACGGUGUUUUUUUUUUUUCUUCCCCUUUCCCAAGAGCCGCCCAAUUCGAAUGUAUUCAUCGACUGCUUUGCAUGUGUGUGUGAUAUCUUCUCACCCUGCGCUCUGUUCCUCCCCCCCCCUCACUCCCUCCCUCCCUUCCUUUCUCUCUCUGUGCGUAAGGGCGCUUCUGAAUGCGUGGACGCUUGUGGGCUCGUCCGGUAUAAUGCGUGUAUGUGUGUGUGGAUGUCCAUUUUUAAGUCGUUCUUCCCUCCUCCUCCUCCCUCUCCUUCUCCCCAAUCCCUUCUCUCUGUCUUGGUCACGUGCAUGCGUGUACGUGUGACAUGCGUGUGUUUCACUGCUGCAACUGGAGCAAAAAAAAAACGAAGCGCC
rnacentral:misc_RNA from 1 species